UCCACGCCGUAAACGAUGAGUACUAAGUGUAGGGGAAACUCUGUGCUGUAGUUAACGCAAUAAGUACUCCGCCUGAGUAGUACGUACGCAAGUAUGAAACUCAAAGGAAUUGACGGGACCCCGCACAAGCGGUGGAUCAUGUUGUUUAAUUCGAUGAUACGCGAAGAACCUUACCAGGUCUUGACAUCCCCCGCAAAGCUAUGGAGACAUAGCGGAGGUAUUCGGGGAGACAGGUGGUGCAUGGUUGUCGUCAGCUCGUGUCGUGAGAUGUUGGGUUAAGUCCCGCAACGAGCGCAACCCCUAUUGCUAGUUACCAUCAUUAAGUUGGGGACUCUAGCGAGACUGCCAGUGAUAAACUGGAGGAAGGUGGGGAUGACGUCAAAUCAUCAUGCCCCUUAUGACCUGGGCUACAAACGUGAUAC
rnacentral:rRNA from 1 species